rnacentral:rRNA from 1 species
UUGGAUCUUGGGUCGUAAGGGUUGGUCCGCCUACUCGGUGUGCACCUGCCCUUCCGUCCCUUUUGUCGGCGGCGUGCUCCUGGCCUUAAUUGGCUGGGUCGCGGUUCUGGCGCUGUUA